UACGGAAUGUGCAAACGUUAUUCGGAAUCACUGGGCUUAAAGAGUCCGUAGGCGGCAUGUUAGGUGAGGUGUGAAAUCCCACGGCUCGACCGUGGAAUUGCGCUUCAAACCGGCGUGCUUGAGGAAGAUAGAGGUGGGCGGAACUGAUGGUGGAGCGGUGAAAUGCGUUGAUAUCAUCAGGAACACCGGAGGCGAAGGCGGCCCACUGGGUCUUUUCUGACGCUGAGGGACGAAAGCUAGGGGAGCGAACGGG
rnacentral:rRNA from 1 species